GAUGAACGCUGGCGGCGUGCCUAAUACAUGCAAGUCGAGCGAACGGACGAGAAGCUUGCUUCUCUGAUGUUAGCGGCGGACGGGUGAGUAACACGUGGAUAACAUACCUAUAAGAAUGGGAUAAAUUCGGGAAACCGGAGCUAAUACCGGAUAAUAUUUUGAACCGCAAGGUUCAAAAGUGAAAGACGGUCUUGCAUUCACUUAUAGAUGGAUCCGCGCUGCAUUAGCUAGUUGGUAAGGUAACGGCUUACCAAGGCAACGAUGCAUAGCCGACCUGAGAGGAUGAUCGGCCACACUGGAACUGAGACACGGUCCAGACUCCUACGGGAGGCAGCAGUAGGGAAUCUUCCACAAUGGGCGAAAGCCUGACGAAGCAACGCCGCGUGAGUGAUGAAGGUCUUCGGGUCGUAAAACUCUGUUGUUAGGGAAGAACAUAUGUAUAAUUAACUGUUCACAUCUUGACGGUACCUAAACAGAAAGCCACGGCUAACUACGUG
rnacentral:rRNA from 1 species